UCCUACGGGGCGCAGCAGUGGGGGAUAUUGCCCAAUGGGGGGAACCCUGAUGCAGCGACGCCGCGUGGGCGAUGGAGUGCUUCGGCAUGUAAAGCCCUAUCAGCAGGGAAGAAAAUGACGGUACCUGACUAAGAAGCCCCGGCUAACUACGUGCCAGCAGCCGCGGUAAUACGUAGGGGGCGAGCGUUAUCCGGAUUUACUGGGUGUAAAGGGAGCGCAGGCGGCGUGGCAAGUCAGAUGUGAAAACCCGGGGCCCAACCCCGGGACUGCAUUUGAAACUGCCAUGCUGG
rnacentral:rRNA from 1 species